AGAGUUUGAUCCUGGCUCAGAGCGAACGCUGGCGGCGUGCCUAACACAUGCAAGUCGAGCGAGAAAGUCCGCAAGGAUGAGUAAAGCGGCGAACGGGUGAGUAAUACCUAGGAAUCUACCCUUUGGUGAAGAAUACCUCCGAGAAAUCGGGGUUAAUACUGCAUAAGUCGAUGAAUAAUCGAGAAAGAUGGCCUAAUUGCUAUCGCCGAAGGAUGAGCCUAUGCACUAUUAGCUAGUUGGUAGGGUAAUGGCCUACCAAGGCGAAGAUGGUUAGUCGGCCUGAGAGGGUGUACGGCCACAAUGGAACUGAAACACGGUCCAUACUCCUACGGGAGGCAGCAGUGGGGAAUAUUGCACAAUGGGCGCAAGCCUGAUGCAGCGACGCCGCGUGGAGGAUGAAGGCUUUCGAGUUGUAAACUCCUGUUAAGUGGGAAGAAAGCCUGCUGGUAAAUAAUCAGCGGGGAUGACGGUACCACUAGAGAAAGCACCGGCAAACUUCGUGCCAGCAGCCGCGGUAAUACGAAGGGUGCAAGCGUUAUUCGGAGUUACUGGGCGUAAAGAGUAUGUAGGCGGUUUGUUAAGUUAGUUGUUAAAUACCACGGCUCAACUGUGGAAAGGCAGCUAAUACUGACGAGCUAGAGCGCAGAAGAGAGGAGUGGAAUUCCCGGAGUAGCGGUAAAAUGCGUAGAUCUCGGGAGGAACACCGGUUGCGAAGGCGGCUUCUUGGUCUGUGGCUGACGCUAAAGUACGAAAGCGUGGGGAGCAAACAGGAUUAGAUACCCUGGUAGUCC
rnacentral:rRNA from 1 species